AACCCUCGGAAGGAUUCAAUUA
rnacentral:rRNA from 1 species